CGUGGUCCUGUCAGCUCUGUGGCACCGCUGUGGCAGCCGGAGCUCCUCCAUGGCUCAGCUCCUGCAGCCCUUGCUCUCCCCCAAACCCUCCUGCAGCACAGGUCACCUGAGAUCCUCUCCAGUCCUGACCUCAGUAAUUCUACUUACCAUUAAUUAGAAGUUGUGUUCUUGUAAAAAAAAUCUUGAAAAAUUGACUGCAAUCUUGGGACUACCUGUGCUCAAAGAGGAUUUUGUUCACCUUUCAAACACAAAACAAGAAACCUGAAAGCUGAGAUUGUUUCAAGAGCACCUGGGAAUUCUCACUAUUGCUGCAAAUAUCCAACACCUUUAUAUAUAUGAAUUAAAUUCUAGGAUUCAGGAGUAUCCAUGUAAACCACAGCUUGAUUAUAAACUGAAUGGAACUGCAUCUGUCAUAGACAAUUUUUUGAGAGAAUUACCUGACCUUCCUCUCAGACUAGGCAUUAGUCUAUUUUUUUAUCAUCUUCUCUCUAUUCAGCCAACAACUCAAAUUUUUCAAAACCCUCCAGAUGAAUUUUGUAAACAAUUUAUAUCCUGUUUCUUGUAUAGUCCAGUGGAAGUGUCCCUGCCCAUGGCAGGGGGGUGCAAUGACAUAAACUUUAAGGUCCCUUUCAACCCAAAUAAUUUUAUGAUUGUACGAAUAUGCACUGUAUUACCCCCAAAACCACAGAGGGUAUCUUCCACAAGCACUCACACUCUGAUCACUUUUUAUGUUUUUAUUGCAAACAUAGGUGCAGAAAAUUCGCCCUGGAGAUUUAUGUUCUUUGGAACAUAUUCACUGAAAAAAAUACUCCGCAAAAUUGGGAUGAUACAGUACGUUGGCUAAUUAACAACCAGAAAAACCAUGGAAUAAAAAAUUAAAAACAUAUAUAUACAUAUAUAUAUAUAUAUAUAUAUAAAACUAUAUUAUUGGGGGUUGGAAAUAAGCUUGCCUCUUCUAACCUUAACCACUCUGCUAAUCGUACAAAUAAAACACAUUACUGCAUGAAAGGAACGCGUAGCGUGUUUUCUUAAAUGAGUCUGCAAAAGGCCCUCUAAAACCGGCCGUGUGGACAGGUCAAAGGGUGGAUGUGACACGGAUGAGGACAUGAGGUGGAGGCGACAUUGACUCCAUGAGGGUGCCAAAACUUUGGGAACAACGCCGCGGGCAGAAUUCAGAGCAAGCAGAACGCACAAAGGCGCUUCCCAGGACGGCGGCCCAGCGGGUAGAGCCCAUGGAAAAGGGAUUAUUUCGGGAUAAACAGUCGCUGAGGACACCUGAGGCGCUCCCCUGAGGGAGGCGCGCUGCCUCGCCUUGCCGCUCGGCAGGGGGCGCUCUCCCCGCCCCUCCCUCCCCGGGGCUCCCUC
rnacentral:lncRNA from 1 species